rnacentral:lncRNA from 1 species
AACAGUGCUUUAUCUUUGAUUUUUUGCUAAAUUGGCUAUUAUUUUUCUUUGAGCUUAUCCUGCUAGCAUUUUUUUUUUGUAAUGCUUCAGUUUCAAGUAAUUAUUUGUUUAUUUGAUGUGUACUUUUGUCCUUGAUGUAGGUUUUCAUUGAAGCAGAAAAGUAUGAAGAAUGAGAAUGGUGAAGCUGAGACUCUGGAGAUUACUGUUUAUGACUAUUUUGUCAACCAUCGUAACAUACAGUUGCGUUAUUCUGCUAAGAUGCCAUGCAUUAAUGUUGGCAAGCCAAAGCGGCCAACAUAUAUUCCUAUGGAGGUGAAUUGAUGCACUUUGGUUAUGUUUUCUAAAUGAUAUAUGUUUAGCCUCUAAUUCUUGUCUAUGGUUUGUUGUGCCCCUGUUGCAAUACCAUAGCUCUGUUCUUUGGUGUCCUUGCAACGUUACACAAAAGCACUAUCCACUUUCCAAAGAGCUUCACUGGUUGAAAAAUCAAGGCAGAAGCCUCAAGAAAGAAUGAGUGUCUUGUCUAAUGUAGGUCGUUUCUCUAAGCUUUUGACUCACAUCAUUUCAUUUGUACCAUAACUUAUGUGUCAUGACCGUUUCAAUUUUUUGUGCAGGCUUUACAGAGCAGUAAUUAUGGUGCUGAACCAAUGCUGCGUUCAUGUGGUGUUUCUAUCAGCUCUAAUUUCACCCAAGUGGAAGGUCGAGUUCUGCCAACUCCACGGGUAGAUGAAUGAUAUUUUUCUUUCAGAAAUUUUGUUUGUUUCCGUGAUAUAUUGAACAUUUAUGUUGGUUGUUGAGGGUUAUUCUAAUGGUCUUUCUUUUAGAUCCACAUUCUAAGUAAGUUAUCUUUUGAUGACAGUUAAAAGUGGGCAAUGGUGAAGAUUUCUUUCCACGAAAUGGGCGAUGGAAUUUUAACAAUAAGGUCUUUGCUCUCUUUGCUUUUUCAGCCAUCUGUUACAUACGUUUCAACUCUUGUUUGUCAAUAGUUCAGUAUAUGCUUUCAUAGAAAUUAGUGGAGCCAGCUAGGAUUGAACGAUGGGCUGUUGUAAACUUCUCGACACGUUGUGAUAUAAAUAGCCUUGUGCGGGAUCUGAUUAGAUGUGGAGAGAUGAAAGGGAUUGUAAGUUUGGCAUCCAAUUUUUGUUUUGGUUGUAAGGUUUUUGUUAGUUAGCAUAUACAAAAUUAUAGAAUUCAACUUGUUGACUUAAGCUCUUUUCCAUUUCUCUCUUUUAGCAUAUAGAUCCUCCAUUUGACGUGUUUGAAGAGAGGAAUCAAAACAGACGUUCCCCUCCUUUGGCUAGAGUGGAGAACAUGUUCGAGGAGAUCCAAUCUAAACUUCCUGGAGCUCCACAAUUCCUUCUUUGUCUGCUGCCUGACAGGAAAAAUUCUGAUCUUUAUGGUGUGCACAAUUUCAUCUGUUCAUGCAUUGGCUAUGCAUGUUUUCUUGAAUCUUUUUCUUACAUAUAAAUUUCAUUGAAUUUUCUAAGGUCCUUGGAAGCGAAAGAAUCUUGCUGAGUUUGGCAUUGUUACUCAGUGCAUGGCUCCAACUAGGGUCAAUGAUCAGUACCUUACAAAUGUGCUUCUCAAGAUCAAUGCAAAGGUCUGCUCCUAUGAAAUGUGUUCUUUUUUGCUUUAACCUGUUCCCAUGAUUGCAUUUCUAAUCUUCAGUAGUUAAAUUAGUAGGGUUAUUGUUCUCUUUGUAAUUAAACCUGCUAAUAUCAUAACCUGCUCACAGCUUGGAGGUUUGAAUUCAAUGUUAGCAAUUGAACGGACUCCUUCAAUCCCUAUUGUUUCAAAGGUUCCAACUAUGAUCCUUGGCAUGGAUGUGUCACAUGGCUCUCCUGGGCAGUCUGAUGUCCCGUCAAUUGCUGCGGUAGGGAUGAUCUUAUUCCUUAUCAUUGGUUUUUUUUUUGUUUUUUUCCUUUUCGAGUUUCCAUCAAUUCCAAGUAGUUUGUAAUGGCAUUUAUGGAGAUGUGAUUCAAUAGUCUGUCUGUACUCUGUCUGUACCUUGUUAAAUAAUUAUUGCCUCCAACGAAUUUUCUUGAGCUGUACUUCAAAUUUUGAGAGUUUCUUUAUUGUGUUGAAUUUGUAGGUGGUCAGCUCCAGGCAGUGGCCUUUGAUUUCCCGCUAUAGGGCAUCUGUGCGUACACAGUCACCUAAGCUUGAAAUGAUAGAUUCACUAUUCAAACGAGUGUCUGACAAAGAGGAUGAAGGUAUCAUGAGGUGCGUUUCAAUCAUUAUUUGACUAAACAAGGGACAAGUAUUGGCAAAAAAAAAAAAUAAAGACUAGUGUUUUUGUUGAAAAUUUAUUUGUUAUAUCCUUUUCCUUUCUCUCUUCUUAUUUGGUAUGCCAAGGGGGGUGGGUAUGGGGCUGCUUUAGUAAGAAAGUUGUUUGAUAUGUUAUUAUGCUGGUAAUGAUUUAUAUCUAUAGGAUUGUAACUUUUGGGUCUAGUAACGUUUAUAGUUUGUGUAACCUAACCUUACAUUUUCUUUGAUCUCAGGGAGGUGCUCUUGGACUUUUAUACAAGUUCAGGAAAGAGAAAGCCUGAUCAAAUCAUCAUAUUCAGGUUUCUUUUCAUUUUGCAUUUUGCUGUUUCUUAUGUUCAAUCUGUAUAAUAAAAUAAAAAUAUUCUAAUUCAUACAUAGAUGGAAGAGUACAUUUUUUGGGUACUUGUGAAUACUGUGGAAAAACUAAGAAUAAAUCAGUGUGGAAACUGAAUGUAUAUUGAAAAACUGCUCAUAUAUAAUUAUACAAGAACCUUAGGUUUAUAUACAACUAACUAGGGGUUAAACUAGGAAACUAAAUCUUCCUAAAAAACUAAUCCUAUAAUUGAGGGAUUGUCUAUCCUAAUUUUUUGUCCUUAAUUCUAAGGAUACAAAUACUUAAUUCUAGAGAUACAAAUAUAAAUAUACAGAUUACAAGAUUACAACCAGCUGUAAAUAAGUGUUUUCUCACACUCCCCCUCAAGCUUGUGAAUAAGUGUUUUUCAUUCCCAGUUUGGAAAUAAUUUCUUGAAAUGUUGCACUGCUGAGACCUUUAGUCAAUACAUCAGCAAGUUAACCCUUGGUUGAUACAUAAGGUGUACAAAUCAACCUAUUGUCUAGUUUCUCCUUUAUAAAAUGCCGGUCUACUUCAAUUUGUUUUGUUCUGUCAUGUUGCACAGGAUUGUGUGCAAUGCUUAUUGCAGACUUGUUAUCAUAGUAGAGUCUCAUUGGUGCAUCCCACUUGAUCUUCAAGUCUUCUAAGAUAAUCUUUAACCAUAGUAGUUCACAAAUUCCUUGAGCCAUUGCUUUGAACUCCGCUUCAGCACUUGAUCUUGCCACCACAUUUUGUUUUUUAUUCCUCCAAGUCACAAGAUUACCACCUAAGAAAGUGCAGUAGCCUGAGGUGGAUCUUCUAUCAGUGACUGAACUUGCAUAAUCAGCAUCUGUAUAGGCUUUUAGAACUAGCCCCGAAUUUCUUUUGAAUAAGAUACCUCUUCCAGGAUUAGCCUUCAAAUAGUGCAAUAUACAGUAGACAGCCUGUAAGUGCACUUCUUUAGGACUAUGCAUAAAUUGAUUUACCACACUCACAACAUAUGCUAUAUCAGGUCUAGUAUGUGAGAGAUAAAUAAGUCUUCCAACUAAUCUUUGGUACAUCUCUCUAUUUACAGCAACAUCUUCAUUAGCUUCUCCAAUUUUGUGAUUAGAAUCUAUAGGGGUAUUUGUAAGUUUACAUGUGAGCUUCCCAGUUUCCUUCAAAAGAUCCAUCACAUAUUUUUGUUGUGAGAUGAAGAUACCAUGCCGUGAGUGAGCUACUUCAAUUCCUAGGAAGUACUUCAAUCUCCCUAGCUCUUUUAUCUUAAAUUCUCUAGCCAAACACUGUUUUAGAGAUUCUCUUUCUUUUUCAUCAUCUCCAGUUACAAUUAUAUCAUCAACAUACACUAAUAGAACUGUGACUCUCCCUGAAUUAGAGUGCUUGAUAAACAAUGUGUGAUCUCCUUGACUCUGUUUAUAUCCCAUUGCUAGCAUCACUUUGACAAAUCUCCCGAACCAAGCCCUAGGAGACUGUUUAAGGCCAUAUAAAGCCUUUUUUAGCCUGUAUACUUUGUUUGCUUCUAGAUGACCUCCAAAUCCCGGUGGAAUUUUCAUAUAUAUUUCUUCUUCCAAAUAGCCAUGUAGAAAAGCAUUCUUUACAUCAAAUUGUUGAAGCUGCCAAUUGUAAUUUGCAGCCAAUGAUAACAAAAUCCUAACUGUAUUCAUCUUGGCAACUGGAGCAAAGGUUUCCUGAUAAUCCAUUCCAUAGGUUUGAGUGUAGCCCUUAGCCACUAACCUGGCUUUAUACCUUUCAACAGUACCAUCUGCCUUGUAUUUUACAGUGAAAACCCAUUUACACCCCACUGAAUUUUUUUCUUUAGGCAACUUUACCAGUUCUUAUGUCUGAUUUUUCUCUAAACCCUCCAUUUCUAUUUUCAUGGCUUGCCUCCAUUUUUCACGGAUAAUGUCUCGGAUAAUGUAGUUGGAACAGAAAUAGUGUUUAAGCUCACAAGAAAACUUUUGUAGGAUGGUGAGAAUUUUUCAAAUGAUACAAAAUUAGAGAUUGGGUAUAGUAGAUGCUUAGUACAUUCUCUGGUUCUUUUCCUAAUGGCAAUAGACAGAUCAUAAUUACUAGUUAUAGUUUUAGGAGAUUCAUGCUCAUUUUGAGAAACAGACUUAAAAACUGUAGUCACUUCAUUUCCAGAGUUAGGAUCAGGUUCUUGGACUGGCAUUGGUUUAGGAUCUGGAACUUUCCUUCUUGAGUACACCCGUAAUUCCUUCAUAGAAUCAAGAACAAUAUUAUCCUUUGUCAUAUCUUUUGUAUUUGGAAUGGGUUCAGACUCGAAUUCAGUGUUUGACUUGGGCUCAGCAGAAAUAGGUUUCGACUCAGAAGAAUUAAUGGGUAUAAAUGUUGAAGAAGGGGACAAAUCAAGCAAAAAGAAGUCUUUAUCCUUAUCUUCCAUGAAUGAAGUCUCCCUCUGAAGAUAAAGUUGAGUAAAAAAUGGUUUACUUUAUUCAAAAGUGACAUUUGUAGACACAUAAAAUUUUUUGAUAGGAGGAUGAUAGCACUUUUAUCCUUUUUGAGUUGAAGAAUACCCCACAAAAAUACACUUAAUCGCUCUUGGAUCCAACUUUCCCCUGUUAUGAUUGUGAACAUGAACAAAUGAUGUACAACCAAAUAUUCUAAGUGUGAGAUUGUUUGUAGUAUUAAGGUUGGGAUAAAAUUGUGAGAGUAGUUCCAUAGGAGUUUUAAAUCCCAAAACCCUUGAAGGUAACCUAUUUAUAAUGUGUGUGGGAAUGAGAAUAGCUUCCUCCUAAUAAGAUUUAGGUACAUUUACUUGAAAAAGAAAGGCUCGGGUUGUGGCUAGUAAAUGGCUGUUUUUUCUCUCUGCCACUCAAUUCUGCUGUGGAGUAUUAACACAAGAUGACUCAUGGAUAAUCCCCUCAUUUUGGAAUAGGUGGAUAGACUUUGGUUGAAGUAGUCUCUUGCAUUAUCAGACCUAAAUCUCUUGAUUCUCACUCCAAAUUGAUUUUGGAUCAUGUUUUGGAAGCUUAAAAACACCCUAUUCACAUUUGAUUUGGAUUUUAAGUAAAAAAAACCCAAGAGAGCUUGGUACAAUCCUUUAUGAAUGAAACAAACCAUCUUGCACCAAACAAACUUGUAGAAGGACCCCAAAUGUCACUAUGAAUCAAGUAAAAGGGAAUAGAACUUCUUUUGUUAUUAAUUGGAAAAGACACGUUUAUGCUUUGCAAGUUUGCAAACAUCACAAUGAAAAUUUUCGACAUUUAAUCCUUUGAACAAAGAAGGAAACAUGUUUCUCAAGGUUCCAAAAAAAGGAUGUCCAAGACAAAAAUGAUAAAGCCAGAUUUUGUCUUUAUUGGAAGAUUUUUCAGAAAGAAAUGACAAAGGUAAACUAUUCUUGAUAUUACUUGUGUUAUUUGAUGUCUCAAGAUAGUAUAGUCCAUCCUUCUCCUUAGCAAGUCCAAUCAUCUUCCCCGAACUCUGGUCUUGAAAUUCACAAUAAGCGGGAUAAAAAGUCAUUUUGCAAUUCAUAUCUCUGGUAAGUUUUUGUAUAGAUAUCAGAUUAGUAGACAAUCCAGGAACAUGAAGAACAUUUUUGAGAACAAACGAGGGAUUAACUUGAAUAUUUCCUAAUCCUGCCACUGUAAUAAGUGAACCAUCUGCAAUCAAUUUUCUUAUUACUAGGACACAAGGUAUAUGUACUAAACUUCUAUGAGGAAUGUGUCAUGUAGUUUGUGGCUCCAGAGUCAAUGACCCAAGAACUCGUAAUAGGCUUAACCGAGAUAUUUAAUCUAUGAGAACCGGAAGCUUUACCUGAACUAGAGCCCUUACCCAAGGAACAUACCAUAGUAGGUUUUUCAAGGAUUUGCAAUAAGUUUCUCAGCUUUUCAAUCUCUUCCCUGUCGAACUCUCGUUGUUUUGGAGACAUCUGUAGUACUCCAGUGAUUUUCUCAGUUGAUAUUUCCUCAAAUUGGGUGGUAGUGAUAUCUUUUUUUGAAAGGGUUCGGCAAUGAAGGCCUAAAAUAGAAGUCAGCAAUGAAAGCUAAAAAUUUUGCUUCCCAAGAAGAGCCUAAAGCUUUGAUACCAUGUGAAAAAAUUAAGAAAUAAAUCAGUGUGAAAACUGAAUGUAUAUUGAAAAACUGCUCAUAUAUAAUUAUACAAGAACCUUAGGUUUAUAUACAACUAACUAGGGGUUAAACUAAGAAACUAAAUCUUCUUAAAAAACUAAUCCUAUAAUUAAGGGAUUGUCUAUCCUAAUUUUUUGUCCUUAAUUUUAGGGUUACAAAUACUUAAUUCUAGAGAUAUAAAUAUAAAUAUACAGAUUACAAGAUUACAAAUUUGUUUUUCCUCGUUCUUAAUUGCCAUGGCUUCUUCUUUGCAUUGCAAACUCUAUUUUUGUUGACAUCUAAGCAACGGUGUAUUUAUUCCCUCAAAUCAUCUUUUACUUGUAAAAUGUGUAACCAUUAUUUGGGUAAUAUUGCAUUGAUCUUCAGGUAUUGAUUAUCUGUGUGGUGUCUUCUUGCUGCUUAUAUAUUGUACAAGUUGAUGGCCUUAUACUUUUAACCAACCUACCAGGUUUCUUUCUGCUUGCCAUAUGAAAUGGUUCGGACCUUUCUCAUUUUUUAGCAUCUGCCAUUGUCCUUAUUUUCUGUUCUGGCUAUGUGAUUUAGGAUGUUGUAAUAAUCCCACUAACAUUUUCACAUCUUUGUCACAUAGUUAAGGUUCUGUGAGUAUAAUACCUGCUAUGCAAAACUUUCUUCUAUGUUAGACUGCUGUGGCCUUAUACAUGUCCCGUUUCUGAUAUCUUUCUACUGCAAAUUUUAUUUUAUCUUCUUAUGAAUAAUCAUGUAUCUUGUACGUAUUUCUUGUAAGCUAGUUUGUAGUUAUUGUGCUGAUGAUUCUGUUACAUUUUAUUGAGAUGCUCAUGCAAUGUUGCUUUUUUGCUCAUUGUUCUUGAUUCAACUCAGGGAUGGGGUUAGUGAGUCACAGUUCAAUCAAGUUUUGAAUGUUGAACUGGAUCAAGUUAUUGAGGUAUGCCGUAGUGCCUUUCUAUAAUGGAUCUGAAAGUUGUACAUUUCUUUUUAAAUUAUUUGUGCAAAAUAAAGAAGACAAUAGUGAUAGCGAUAAAACAUUGUCUUAAGAUGAUAGUGCUUGGGAUAAAGCCCCUCUUGUUAAUGUUUCUACUUCAUAGGCUUGCAAGUUUCUUGAUGAGAACUGGAACCCCAAGUUUGCGGUCAUUGUAGCACAGAAAAACCAUCAUACAAAGUUUUUCCAGGAGGGAUCUCCUGACAAUGUACCACCAGGUGAGGCUCACUCAUUAUUUGUUGUGUCAUUUGGUAAAUCUGUUAUGGUUGUCAAAAUUGAUCCUUUUUUUUUAUUAUGCAGGAACUGUGAUAGACAACAAAAUCUGUCAUCCGAAGAACAAUGACUUUUAUCUUUGUGCACAUGCUGGAAUGAUUGUAAGUAUUUCCAGAAUUUUGUUUGUGUUUAUUAGUGACUAUUGGUUUUGGAAUUCUUUUGUCUCACUUGUUCAGCAUAGGAAUUUUUGACUGUGUUAUGUUGGUUUAAAUUUCUAGUAGUUUGGUUAAUUUUCUUUCUGGAUCUGUAGUGAAUCUUUUGCAUUAAUGAUUCCAUAUUUUUAGUAGUAACUUGCUUUGCUUAUUGUUUUAUAAAUAUCUACUGACAUUGACAUCUGAAUUUAGAGAAAAUUUGUUUUCGGGGGACACACGUACAUGAAUAAAUAUAGUCUCUGUUUCAUACUCUAUUAAAUAGAGAUAGAGAUAGGUAGGGAAGUGGAAAGUAGUAGUUUGAAAUGGUAGUUUUUCAAAGUUUUUGUGUUUGGGGUGUGGAUGGGAGAGUAAAUAGGGAAGUUCAAUGAAAUUUAAUAAAAUGCCAGUAAUUAAAGGGAGAUAAAGUUUGACACCAACACAUCGAAAAUACUUAAUUGAUCAAGAUAUUGCCAACUAUAUUGUUGUGCUUGCCUUCUCUAUCCAGAAUUCAAUGUUUGUAUUUAAAGCUAUCAUAUAUGUUUUAUCGUGAAAGAAAACGCAAUUGAGAUUAGAUUUACUCCUAUGGUUGGCUUCUUUAUCCAAGUUUUCCUUAAUGCUUUUGCUAUAUCUUAUGGCUGUGUAUGUCUAUGUAUGCAAGAGCCAAAAGCUGUUAAAAAGUGAAGGUCCACAGAACCCAAUUUUAGGAUUAAAAUGAUAUUUAAUUUAUACCAUGUUAACUUUUAGUUUGUAGUUAAAAGCAGUAAUAUUUGUAAGUGUUAGGUCUUUCUGUGUGAACUUUAUUGUUCUUUUUCUCCUCUUAAAUGUGAAUCAAGGCUGACUUCUGACCUGUGGCUUCUUGUUGAUAUGCUGGUCAUGCUCAAUUGCGGAUCAAAGUCUUUUUCCUUAUUUAUUUGAUCGGCUGAUUUUAUUAAAAUGUUUGUGCUAAAUAUCUUUGAUAAUAAUUCAUGACAAAAAGAAUUGCUAUUAUUGACUUUUGAUGUGUUCUAAACGUUUGUAGCCCUCCAUUUGCUUAUUGUAAUGUUCAUUUCUUUAUAUAAUUUGUGUUUGCUAUUCAGGGAACCACAAGGCCUACUCAUUAUCAUGUUCUGUUAGAUCAGAUAGGGGUUUCAGCUGAUGAUCUGCAGGAACUUGUCCAUUCUCUGUCAUAUGUGUAAGUAUAGAAUCAUGUGUUGUAAUUGCUUCACAAAUGGAUUAAGUUGUAACCACUGUUGCAUUCCUUAUAAUCUCGGUCUAUUGCAGGUAUCAAAAGAGCACCACUGCUAUAUCAGUAGGUAAGUAUUCUGGUUGAGCUGCAGCCCUCGUGUUUGUGAUAUGCUUUUUCUCAAAUGCCAUGUUAAUUUGGUUAGAAGACUUGUCCUUUGACUUGUAUGCUGCUCCAUAUAAUAGUUUGUCAGUUAUUUGCAUGAUUUCGCAAUUCCAUUUCUUAAAGGUGUUUGUUUCAAAUCGUGCUUUGGAUUGCAAAAUAUCACAAUAUCCUUUUUGUUGCAGUUGCUCCUAUCUGCUAUGCACAUUUGGCAGCUUCACAGAUGGGAACGUUUAUGAAGUUUGAAGAGGCUUCGGAGACAUCCUCAAGUCAUGGUGGGGUAACUGCUCAUGGAGCUGUUCCUGUCCCUCAGCUCCCCAGAUUGAGGGAGAAUGUCUGCAAUUCCAUGUUCUUCUGCUGAGACCUUUAAGCCAUGUUUUGUCUAGGCUUUUGGAUUUUUACCAACUGAAACUCUUUAAAGUAUAUUUUAAUUUUAAAGUUUAGAUGUAGGCCUAUCCCAGCCUUUUCUGAUGAUGUGCUGUUCUCUGAAUCAUCAUCCAUUUUGAUUAUAACUUAUAGGGUGCUAGGGCCCCUAAUAUAUCUAAACAUAUCAAUGGUUUGAGACUAGCUAACGUCCAGUGGCUUUUGUCUGUUUGGUUUGGAUUUCAUGUGAUUGAAAUGGUUACCUUUACUCUCUUGUUCACUCUGGCGAAAACCAGUGCAUAGGUUCGGGUAGCAGCAACUUCAGCAGUUUGUACGAGGUGGAUUACCGUGGUGUCUUAAUUCACUUACCCAAUAUGAAGCAGUUCCUUCAAAAUUCAGCUGAAGAGUUAGAUAAUAGCCAAAAAAAAAAAAAAAAACUUCGAGAUUUUCUUGCUUUUGAGUGUAUAUGUUGAGGGAGGAGUUUGUCGGUUUUGGUAGGAAAAAAACUUGAAUAAUCAGAAUGGUUAUGGUGAUGCAGAGCUUUGAUGGUAGUAGGCAAGGAAUCAUUUUUCAGCAGAAAAGGUGGGAAAAAUCUUGGACAAUGAUGGCUACUCUCAUCCCUUCGAAGCAGUAGCCUCGGCCGCUUAUAUGAAGUGAUGUUCUUGAUGAAGUUUUCGCCAAUGCAAGUUUAGCUUGUCUUGUUAACUAGUAGAACAGUGUAUAGCUGCUUGUUGAAUCCGAAAUCUGAACUCAACAAAAUGAAAUUCAGAACUGUCGAUGUAACUCAACUUUAGACCAAGAAUGCUAAGCUGCAGAAGUAGAGAACAAUAAAAGACUUUCCAGGAAGAUAAAUGUUGAGCAACAAAGAGAAUUUACAGAGCUAAUCAGUGAAGUUACAUUUGGUUUCCAAGUACAAAUUCCUCCAACUCUGUGUAGAAUUGGCUGACUGCUCUGUGUGUUCAGAACUGUUAUCAUCAGCAGCACCAGACAGGCAAGUAUUAUCUUCAAACCUUUGAUUUUCGCCAUUCUUUCUCCAACCAAAACUUUGUCUCUCUUAAUGGCUAUUUCUUGCUAACAAGGCUAAUGAGCUACCAACACAUGCAAUUCACAUUCAUAUCUAUAAUCAUAGAACUCUUUAAGAGUUUGUAGGAAGAAACUUGGUGCCUCUUAUAUUCACAAAAUUUCCAUGGUCAAUAAUCACCCUUACUAUUGUUUUCAAACAGAUACUUACGGUGAAUUAUGUGUGAUUAGUGUUUAUUCUGAUUCUAGAACAUCUGCUGUGGAUACUAAUCAAAGAUUUAAAGAAUGUUAGAAAACAUGUGAAGAAUUUAGCUGAUAUAGAAGAACAUGGAUGGGAUGUUAUUCCACUCUUUCUCCCACAACAGUUUGAAGUCCGUUUCAGUAUGAAAAUUAGAGGCUAUUCCUUGAUAAUAAGGCUAAUGAACUACUACCACUCCAGCACCUGCAUUUCAGAUUGAUAUCCCUAAUGGAAGACCUUUAAGUUUCAGGUGUUAUUGUAGUUAAACCAUCAAAAUAAAUGUAAACAACUGCUUAUAUAUAUAUAUGUAUAUGUAUAUGUAUAUGUAUAUAUUCCUCUAAAUGUAAUUCCAUUUCAUCUGACUAAUAAUAGUUUUUGGAAAGAAAAUCAAGAACACCACGGUGGCCAGCAGAGGCUGAAAACUUUGGCUCCAAGAAUUUGAUGGAGGACUACUUUUCCCUGGAGAGGGUGCCGGAGAUGGUGAGAUAUCUUCAACAUUGCCAGCAACUUUCAUUCCAUGUAAGCAGAAGCCUCUGCCCGUGAUGAAGUAACAUCGCCUUUCUUCUUUCAGUUCAAGCACAUCUCGCCCACCUCAUGUUAUAUUUGUCAUGAAAAUUUUCUCAUUACAUUUCUAUUAGCUGGUUUUGUUCACUUCCAGAACACCAUAGAGGUUCUUGUCAAAUCAAAAUUUGCUAAACGUAUUCUCACUAAAUUCUUCUUCAAGUAAAAGUACUGUAAAAACACAUUUUCUUAUUACUGGUUAGCAUUUUUCCCUUCCUACUUUUUGUAAAUUUUCAUGUGCUAAUGGACAUGAUCAAUGGAUGUUGUGGGACAAUAGUGUAUCAGAUUAGGAUACGAUUUCGGAGUUAUUAAGAACUUGUUGACUUGAAUGACCUGAUGAAAUUUAUUUAUUUAUUAGAGAUAAAAUUAAUUUGUAGAUUGCAUGACAGGUGCAAAAAUAUAAGGAGUUAGCCAAAUCUGCUGGUUGAUUCUGAUAGACAUCUUCUAGAAACCCAUAGUUUGGUAAAAGAAUCUCUGUUAGAUUACCAUGUUAGAAAAAAGAAAAAAAAGAUUAAAUGAAGGAUUACUUCACGUUAACACAGGUUAUUCCAUGCUAUCACGUCAUUUUCAUUUAAAUUGUGUUUUAUGCUGUCACGACGUAUCCUACGUCCAUUUAAAUUGUCACGUCAACAUAUAUUAACAUGAAAACAUAUGCUGAGAUUGUAUCUGUCAUAGGUAAUAUUUGUCUAGAAAGAAAGAAAAGAGAGACCAAGAAAUCUAUUAAGGAGGGAUGGACCUCCCAUAAUCUUCGUUUCAUCUCAGAAAAGCUACGUUGAACAUACCGAGCAGCCAAUGUAAACAAUUCCAGAAGUAGGCCAUGGACUCAACUCAAGCUGUCUAAAUACAGCUAAUAGCCAUUUAUAAUUAAAAUUCCAUUCAUCAAGAAGUAUAAGCAUCAGCAAACAGACCAAAAGCAGAUAGAUAUUGCUUGUAAAAGGUCAAACAUGAGAUAAAGCAUUAAGUGUAAGAUUAAAAAUUAAUCUCUUAUUGUUCAUUUUUCACAGUUUCUACAACUUUUUUUUUUUUUUUUUUUAAUGUUUUUCAGUUUCCCUUAUGUACAACAAUGCCGUGGGGAAGUGAAAUGAAAAUGAUCAAAGAAAAGCACAGGCGCCACCCACCUCUACAAGCUUGCAGGCAACUCAAGAAAAAAGGAUAUACCCUCGAGUCAGAAAGCCUAAGAAAAUUAGGAAACAAAAAUGCAAAGCCUAGGUAGUCAGCAGCCGCACAGAGGUGUAGAACCCCUCAAUGUACAAUGUACAAAACCAUCUUUCCUUGGUAUUCAAGCCAAAUGAUAUAUAGACCAUGAACUCCUACUCUCUGGUCCAGUCAUCAGGGUUGAUCUUCAAAAUUGGGAUUCAAAGCCACUAGGAAUGAAGGACAUCACUUGUAGUUAAUGGCUGUCCUCUCUUGUGCUAGUAUUCCUCUCUUUGGCUCGGAAAUCCUCCAAGUGCUGGUAUUCUUCCCUUAGUAACCUAUCCAAUUCUGGAUGUUUCUUUAAGGGCUCUUUCUGGUCUCUGAAGUGAUGGAAUGCCCUGCCAGACACGAGAAUUCUAAAUUUAGAGGAAGAUGAAGUGGAAAGACUAGUUCGUACAGCAGCCUUAGAUUUUUAGAUUAAUCCUUGUGUUUCAUAUAGAGAAUUCUAACAACAAUCUUCUCUUUUUGGUGGUCUUGGAUUGAAGAAAAUGUCUAAAUAUGAGACAAGAAAAGAUCUACCAUGAAGAUCAUUUAGUCACCAUAAACCAAUAUCCUAGAUUUCAGAUGGGUGAUGUUUGUCUCUGUUCCCGGAUGAGGGGAAAAUAUUUUGACCAAAAGAGCCUUAAAUCUUAAACAUGCAUCUUGGCAUGAUAGUUUUUUCCUUUCAGAAAAUUUUAAGGAAUCCACUUUCUUAAGCUUUUAAUAACAAAUAAUGCAAAAUAGAUUCAGAACAACUCUAUAUUUGUUGCUUACAGGUGUAUAGUUUCCUUCUUAAUUGUGCUAGGUGCAAACUAUCAGCAGCAAUUUCCACUAUCUGUUGUUUUCCUUUUCUCUUUGGAUAUAUGACUUCAUAAGUUUUUGGAGAACUAUAUUAAAGGAUUUCAAGUAUAAUCCCUGAAACCAAAUCUAUUAAAUAUAAUUAAUCCUAAUUUUCUUUCGUCUCAAGAUUCAAGAGUCUUUAUUUCCAUAUAUCUAUCUGCAUAUCAGUCAUCACUUAGUUUAUAUCAAUGUUGUUUUCCUUCAAUAAAAGUUAAUUCUACACAGAAAAUAAUAAACUAAAAAAUUAAUAAUGAUAAACAUAAGCAUGCAGUGCCCAUUCUGAAAGCAGCCAAUUAAAUGUUCCAUGAUAAUAGAGGAAAAAGGAAAUUACCAGUAUUUUUCAAGGCCAUAAAGAUUGCGUCUAUGAUAGAAAUCAAGGGUAAGUUGCUCAAAAUCCUUAUAAAGAUCAUCUCGAUAUUUCUUCUCUAAGCCAUAACUGAAAAAGGAAGAACUUAAUUAAUAUAUACAUAGAUAAGAAAUAAGAUGCAAAACCUUCUGUCUACUAAGGAGAAAAUAGUUUGCUAUAAAUGAAACAAACUUGUAAGGGUUGAAACAAAAGCAGAGUCAAAACUUCAGAGGUCAUUCAAAGAGACAUAAAAGCAUGCAUAAUAAUCAAUGUUACCUAUAAAACCUGAAAAGGCACUCUAUCCCAUAAUUGUAAUUAGCAGAUGCAUCUUCAAGAGCGAGUUUUCGGAACUCAUUAUACAUAGAAGGGACAAACAUGUCCCUAAGGAAAUAUGACCAAAACCUGUACAGUGAAUUCAUUUCCUGCAUGCAAAACCAAGCGACACCAUAAAAAAAAAGUUUCAUUUCUGUACAUCUAGAGAAAUGCAUGAGAAGGAAACUUAAGAUAUUGAAAAAAUGCAAAAGCUCAGGUGCCGUAGACUGGAUGGGUCUAUAAAUGCAAUAAAAAUGAAGAAAUAUGCAUAAACAUAUAUGAAGGAAAAGGAAGACCAUUCAGUUUUUUAAACUACAAACAGUGAUCUAAGAGGACAAAACAAAAUGACAGUACCAAAUUCAGGGCUUCAUCCUCCAUUCAGGCACGCUGUAUUCAAUUUUCUUCCAUUACAAAUGGUCAUAAUAAGGAGGUAAAAAAAUGAAAACAUACCAGACAACCCAGUUUUUGUGACUCAGACAACUGAUUACCAAUAUGAAACAAAGAGAAAUUUCAACAAGAAGUAUAAGAGUAAAUAUUUUGAGUAGAAGUUACUUAGAAAUGUUAAUUAUUUAAACAAUAGAAAUUGUGCAAUAGUUGUUCUUUCAUUUCAUGUAAAACAGUUAAUUAAGAGCUUAGAAAGUUCAGAUAUAAAGUCCACCUCACUGCAACCAAUUCCCAACUUCUUCCUGUCAUGCAGGCAGCGCUUGUGAAACUUUAGGUACCUGAAUGUAACAACAACUGAAUUAGCCAACUUUUCUUUGCAAGAGCUCUUUCUCUCUUUGGUACAACAAAAAUCUCACAUAGUCAUGAUAUUAUAUGUGGAACUGUGCAAAAGUAUACACAAAUACAUACAUAUAUUAGAGAAAAAAUCCACCAUCCCUUACUUCUGUUGCUUAAAACCAUUUUCUUCUAACAGCUGAUGACUUGGAUGCUGGAAAGGUGGAAAUGACUUUGGCAAGGAACCUACUGGUGGACUGCUAGAAAGAGUUCCACGAGGUGAACAGCUCAACUUUGAAGGCGGCCUGGGGCUGUAAAAAAUUGAAAAUUAGACAUCCAUUAGCUCAGGAAGACCUAAAAGUCUACUCAAAUAAGUUAGGUUUCAUUAAUAUUUGAAACCCGUAGUAACCCAUAUCCUUGCACUCAAAAGCAAGAAAGAGCAAGCCAAAAGAAGUGCAGUUAGUCAUGAUAUUUAAAAUGAAGAAAUGGUCACUUGGAGCUAACCCAUGACUAUCUGGAGGAGUAGAACCAAAGAAAUACCCAACCGAAUUACUUGGUGGACUUUCUGAUAUUAUUGCAAUUGAAUUACGACUAGUUCCAUGAUUCUUUAAGUUGCCGGAGAAAAAUCUCUGCUUAUGGAAUGACUGUUGCUUGGAUAAACCUUUAUUUUGCUUCCUUCGGGAACUUGUUCCUCCAGACUCUUCAAGACUACUAUUCCCAGCAGCAUUUUCACCUGUCUUCAUAUUUGAUACUCCUCCACCCCUUGGAGACCUUGGAUUUCCAUCUCUAUUCUCAUAAAAAGAGUUAUUCUUUCUACGACUAAAUCGUUUAGUUUCCAGCUGCUGCUUGUAAUGAUCAUGUUCAAAGAAUUUGAUUAAAGAAAAAUAAACACAAAAGGGAGAAAUUUAUAAAUAUGUGCCAUAACAGUAAAGAAAAUAAAUACGAAAAGCUAGUGUCUCAACUUGUUCAAAGAAGUAAAGACCAUCACUUAUCACAGCAGCAUGCUCACUUGAUAUGGACUUUGAAUCUUUCACACCAGCUUUUGAUCCUUCGCCUAUCCCACUAUUCUGCACAUCAGAAGAAAGGAGCACAUGUCAUCAAAAGGAUAACAAAACAUUUGACUGUCCAAUAUGAGCAAAAUAUGAUCCAAACAAAAUGCAUGCUCACGGGCAUACCAAAAAAAUAAAAGAAAGAACAUAGCAGUCUCAAUUAAGUAUUAAGAAAAUUGGAAGAAAUUGGGAGAAAGGAGAUGCAAGAGAAGAGGAGUGGAGUAGAAUGUCCCCUCUUAAAGUCCCUACAUCCUAAAUUAUUGAUGACGUGAAAAAAAUGGUUAUCUCUCAAUUUGCAUUUGAGAAAGAACACUGCCCCUCUUGAAUCAAGUUUACAAUGCUCCAACUUCAUAAAAUGGAAGCAUUACAUUAUUCAUGUACAUGUUCAUAAAAGCAAUGCCUGUGAAAUAACCGAUUUAGAUGGGGUCAUUGUUACUAUAAAUAUUCUUUUUGAAUUGUAUUUCAUUGAUUUCAAUGUAAAAUCUGACAUUCUUAUCAUUUUCUCUUGAAUCAAAGAAUCAAUAUGAUACCAUUGAAAUGUCAUGAUAUCAAACCAACUAUCAUAAAUUGCUAAGUAAACACAUAAACUUAGAAGAUUCAAUGAGGGUCUUACAAUGUUCCAUUCUUUAAACAUUGAAUAUAACAAUAACAAGACCAAAAAAGAAUUCAUACAAAGUGGUACCAGAUUACCUGGGUAACAAUCACAAGUCUCUGAACAUCCUGAUCAUUGACAACCAUAUCAUCAUCUUCAUCAUCCAUUCUGAACAAAAAUGCCAUUCAGAUAUUCAAGGGAACAUUAUUAACAUCUAGAAGAGUUUAAAUAUGCCUUUAUACAGAAAUUAGAAAUUUCCCUAGCUCAACAAUAAAUGAGAUGUUGAGCCAAUUAAAUACAAACACAAUCUAGUACCUGUUAAGUGUUGAAAGAGUUUUUAUUGAUUUUUGCUCAAGCUCUAGCUCUUCAUCAAGCAUAAAUGUGUGUGUGAAAUCAUUUGACAGGUCAGCAACAUUUUUUAUUGUUACAUCUGACAAUAUUUCUACACUUUGAGUUCUGUGGUCAGUAAAACUUGUAGGCUCAACUCCAUGUGACUGAUCUGCAUCUGAGAAUUUAAUGUGGGAAUCAGCAAUUAAUUUUGUCUUCAGUCACCAUUUCUACCAGUAAAUGCAUGUUUCUUACCGUUUAAUAGAACUGGCACAGAUGCAUGUUUGCUGUUACUUUUACGUGUUACUUCUGCAGGAUUGCCCUCAGGUGAUACAUGCUCCAAGCUCCCACUAUCCAACGGAAAAUUAUCAUUUUCUUCAGAGUUGUCCCUUGCAUUAACUUCAUUCACUUCACUGUUCUCACAGGAAUUGAUAACAUUCUCUACAAUUUGAUUCUCAGUAGCCUGAGCUUCUGAUGACAAUGUUGUCUUUGAACCAGCUGGAAUCCACUUGGACCACGUAUCACACCUCCGUAUCUUGUCACCCUGCAAUAUCAAUUACCAAAUAAAGACAAGGGCAUCAAAGCAAAGAACCGCAUCAGGAGGCACUAUCCCUUGCCAACAUACCCCACAACAAUUACAGAUUGUCAACAUGAGUCUACCCCCAAACCAAAGAAAGCUGCCCUCUCAAAUUUAUUUUAUACACAUGACAGAACACAUGUCAAAUAACAAAUUUAUUUUAUACACACCAAUAGUUCAUAAUUAUAGCUCCCUAGCAACUACAUUAACAUUUGUUAAUUGACAAAAGCAAUUUAUGAUAAUUUAUGAAAAAUAUAGAUUAUAUAAAAUACCUGGAUUAAGAAAAAAGUUAUUAUUUUACUUGCACCAUAAAUUAUCUUUCAGUUUUUUGAAAGAAGAGAAUUGUUGAAAUGAAACUCUUUGGUCAAAACUAUUAUGAUUUUGGUAAAAUGGGUAAAUUAAAGCCAGUCAUGUGGAAAAGAUAAAAAUAGAUUGAUUCUAUUCUCAAAAUUAAACAUCAGGCUCAAUCAGCUUGCAUACAUUAAGAAUCACAUUUCAAAAACAGUAACACCCAAAAGAGAGAAAAGUCUAACCUGCACUUCGAUAGUACUAGAACUCAGCAGCGCAUUGAGGAUAAAUUGUAUGUCUGUACUCAUUCUCUUAACCUGUGACUCAGAAUGUUAAAACCAUGCAAAAGCUUUAAAAGCAAAUAGUUUUCAAGCUAUGGAACAAGGAAGACGUUACAAAAGAUUUAAUUGAAUUGGUUAAUGUUGCAGCAAACAUGAAUACAACAGCAAACUCCUACAAGCACAAAAUACAGCAGCAGCAAAUAAUCGGUGCUAUACUAAUAUAAGCAUUAAGAGGUAGUGUGUUAAACAUACCCUUUUAAAGUCCGCAAUUGCGGAGAUUGGAACCAAUCCUUGAUCAUCCAUCAAGGAAAUCAGGUAAUGGUCGUUUUGAAGAUUUUCAUCGCUGCAAAAAAAAAAGGGGUCAACAAGUAAUACAAACAUACACACACACACACACACAUUAUAUCAUUGAAAAAACAAAUAAAUUUAUGGCAUUUGAUAUGAGGUUGUAGGUUGACAAAGUCUGAAGCAUAUAAACCACGCCAUCAGUUUUUGGUAAGAACUCUAGUUCUUCAAUGGCUCCACAAAUAACGUGUACACAAGCACUAAGAAACAUAAAUACAUAAGGAAUGCAUCAACUAUUUUCACCAGCAAAGUGACAAAUCCAAAUACCCAAAAAUGACACUGGUAUUGGCAUCUAUAGUCUGGGAAGGGAUAUAAUUUAGCAACAAUUCUAGAUAAUGGCACCAAGCUAUUACAAAGAAAACAAAAACAAACCAUACAGACAAAAAAAUUAAUAAAUAAAUAAAAGGAGACAAAGAGAGUCCUUUCCUUACCUGAAAUAAUACUCAAUUUGUUUCACUAUAUUGGCCCUCAAAGUUACUGUCUCUGGAGAGAACAUGGCGGUCCCAGGAUUUAUAUGGUAUGGAACAAAGCGUGGAGGAUGAGGUCCCCUUACAGAGCCUGGGGAAGCAAUAGGCACAUAGCAUACAGCUCCUAGAAAGUAGAAAUCAAUCAUUUUAAAGAGAAUUCAUUUUAGGAAAUGCAAAAUAUAAAUCAAGCGCUCAAACAACAGCAAAAGGAAGAAUCACCUAAGUGGCUCAAAAGCAGGCCUUAGAAAAGGAUUGUUAAUUGUCAAGGAAGCUUAACAAGUAAUAAAACAUGUUGUGUUUUAAAUGAAGGCACUUUUUCAUAGGGAUUGUGUUAUUACCGGGGAAACUUGGACCAACCAUAAACCCUGGAGCUGGACCAAAGAACGGAGGUCUAGCAAAAGGUCUUGGCCCGAUACCCUGCUGCAUUGGAAUGGGUUCCCUAGAAUUAAAUGCCUGUUGAUGAUUCCAGCCAGGAUUCAAAUGGCUCCCGGGUUCUUGCAUGUGGGGUCUUCUAUUAGAGAAGUUGGUAGGAUAUGCAUUGGGAUUUCCUCGGGAAGGAGGCUGCAUAUUUCUGCAGGCAUCAAUACCUUGAACUGGGGGACCAAAGGCUUGCAUUGUUGUCUCAGAUCCAGAUUUUACCAACUGAGUUUCAAUACCAGGAAAAGGUCCAGGGACAGACUGGUAAGCAUACCAAGGAACUGCAAAGUGCGGUGGAGGUACCAUAGCAUGAAAAACAGGUGGCAUUGGUGGUUGAUAAUAAGAUAAGGGUACAGGAAAACGAGGCCCAUUAUUAGGGUUGCGCUUAGAGCCUGACUUCUGAUAACGUGCUGAUGAAUGCUUAUGAGAAGCAUUGGAGUUUCCAGAAACAUUUGAAUUCUGCUGCCCAGCUGCUCCCUGGAAGAACCAAAAGCUACACUGAGAUAACCAUUUAUUCAUUUUUUCUUUCUUAAUUGCUGGAGAAAAAAAAAAAAAGAAACGUAUACCAACAGCCAAAUAAAUCAUGCCCCAUCUUAAUAUGACGACCCAGAAUAGAAUCAUACACGGCAAAUGCACCAAGAAGGAAACAUAGACAACCAGACUCCCUAAGAGUCAGAGAUGGUUAAAUGAUGUGGGAUUUCUUCAUAGAGAAAUUAUUUUCCAUAAUGGUUCAUUAAAAAAUUUUCAUCUGAGAUUAUAUUUCAAUUCUUCCAGUUAUUUGGAAACAACUCAACUUGCAUCUUUUUAACAUGUCCGAGAGGGGGAGGAAAAAAGGGGGAGGGUCAUGAAAGUGAUGUCAUUGGUCAUAGCUUAGUCUCUCAGAUUUUUAAUUGGCAUAAAAUGAUCAAAGAACAUUACGAAACCAGAAAUGUAACAGACCAUGGGUUCUCAGCAUAUUGUUGAGAGAAAUAAAACCAUUGCUUGUGAGAUGAACAAGUAAUAUUCAAAUCAAGUUUAUAUAUAAAAAAAGGCUAAAAACUGGUCUUUCAAGUUGUCCAUUUGAAAUGAUUUUUAGCAAAACCACAUUACAACUUAUAAUUAGACUUUGUACCACAUAGUUUACCAAAAUCAACUCAAAUUACACCCAAACAUUUUCAAUUUUAUCCAAAUUUUACACUUAUAAAAGUGAUUGAUCAAAAAUUAAAGAAAAACCCAAUACCAAAAAUGGCAAUGAGUACUAACCUGCUCUACUGAUGGAGCUGGAGCAGACCCAUCAGCAGCAGCCUGAGGAUUGUCGGGUGUUUGUUGGGUUCCACCAAGAUCAGGCCAAGAUUGGGUCCCCAUAACAGGAGCGUCAGCCGCUUUCUCACCAUCAUUCACCGAAGUCUUCCAUGGUGACAUGACCUCCUUGUGAUCAUCCCCUGCCUCAUUCUCAGCCAUCACCAUAAUCCCCACCACCACCCACCAGCAACCAAAAAAUUCAACAAAUCAAAAACAACCCAGAAUAAAGAACCAAAACCCAGUUAAAAAAUCACCUCAAAAUUCAAUUCGUGAUAACAAAAUGAAAAGGGCUCUUUUAUUCAGUAAAUGAAUUUGGGGUUUCAAUAUCAGGGUCUUAGUGGGUUUUAAGAGUGAAGUGAAGUGAAGUUGGUUGACAGAGCGUUGGGAACUUUGAGAAAGAUUGGCAGUUGCAGACAGAGGCCAAUGAAGUUUGCAAAAGUGGGCUAAAGCCAGCGAAAAGGCGUAUUUGCCUGCGUUAGUUUUGCUUCUUUUACAUCAAGGGAGACAGAAAGAACUAUUGUAAGGGCAAUUUUUUACUAUUUCCAGGUAGUAAAUAUAAAUAAAUGCGCAAUGAACACGAGAAACUAAGAGGGGUAGGAGUGGAAGUAGGAAAGACGUGGUUUGGAAAGAGUGGUUUUCGAGGAUGGGUUCGUGAGUUGGAUCUGUCACGUCAAAAACCCUAGAUUAGAAGUUUCUUAAUCGGGCCGGAUCCACCUUCUUAUAAUAAGCCUGUCCAUACUCAUAAAUGGCCCAAAUUUUUAAAAAAGAUUUAAAAAACAAACCCAAAAUAUUAUAUAUUAUAAAUUUCAAUUAAAUAUUAAUUUAUAAAUAGAUUAAUAAAAAAAUUAUUGACAAAAAAUUAAGUUUAUACUCCAUAAAUAAAUAAAAUAUUCAAUUUUAUGCAAAAUAAGACAUUUAUGUUUUAUUUUCAACUAAACAAGAAAUUAAUAAGGAUUAAGGACUGUUAAAUUUUUUUUUUGUAUAAAAAGUUUAUUAUGUAAGUUUUAAUUUUAAAAAGUACAUGACAUUGUACUCCUAGUUUUAAUAUUAAUACUCUCCGUCAAUUACAACCUUGACUUCCAUGUGAUUCAAACAUGUUUCAUACUUUUUUUAUUUCAUUUCAAACAGAUGAAUAAUCCACUUCACAAUGCGGCUUUUUUCAUCGUACCUAACCUAAUUGCCAUGAAAAAUUUGUUCUUUUUUUGCAAAAUUGAUAUUGCGAAAUUCACAGAUCUAAAAAUUCGUUUCGGACACUUGAACCUUUUCAAAUUGUUUCUUUUUAAGAACCAAUUGGCAUCAAUCACGCUACAAUUUUAAGAUCAAGGCAGGCAGGCAGGCAGGCAUUAGGAGAGGUUCAGACAGGUGCAACCAAGACCAGCUUGAAGCUUCGUACCUUUGACGAAAAGAUGCUUUGCCUGUUCCAUCAACUCACCUAGAAACAAAUUCUUUCCCCAUGAAUCCAAGUCCCUCAAAGAAGACGAAGGUACAAUUUUCAGACAUGUUGGGCACAUAUUGUCAAGAAGGCUUUGACGAGUUACUUCACAAAUUUUUGCAAUAAAUAACAGGUCAUGCAUAACCAUAUCUAAGAACUUCCAUGUCGAAAACAACACAAUCGGUGGGCAUCUCAGAACAUUAAGUUAGCUGAUUCCUCUAAAGGUCACAAAUCAUAGUUCAGAACUUGUUUUCUAAUUUUACAUGAACAAAAAUUUCUCAUCAACAACAAAGAAGCUAUUUCACAAGUCAUUGCCAGAAAGAACACCGGCAACUUCCUUUUUUUUUUUCCAUUUCUAUGGCAAAGGUUCUCAACCAAUGAGACAAAUACAUGGGGGAGGGAAUCGCAGAAGGGGGUUGGAUGUUGGUUGGAGCUGGAGGUGCAAAUACCUACUGUUAAGAAUACACUAAGCAUUAAAGCAGCGGUCAGGACUACAAAGCCAUUGUACCUGCAGUUUAAAAUCUCAUCUCAUCCAAUAUUGGUGUUAAUGACUUCAUAAUCUGUAAUGCUACAGAACCUAUCAUCAAAUCCAUGGACACAGCAAUUUAUAUAUGAAGUCAAACCAAGGGCGGCACUGUACAAGCAGAAAAAGAUUCCAGGCAAUUUAUAAUAAGGUAAAAAUAGUUUACAAAACCACAAGAAAUCAAGAAAAUGUAACAAUACCCAAAAAAUGUUUUGUCUCACAUAAAACUAAAUUAAGAACAUUUUGAUUCACAUAAGAAAUAGUCAUCAUAAAACAAGUGCAUCAGUCAAUUUAAGAAAAAGUACAAAAAAGGCAUUGUUUGAGUAACACACAUGAAAACCUGAAAGGCAUAUCAUGUCCUCUGCCUGGACAUUCUACCUGUUUCCCAACACUUUUCAAGAAACAAAUCUUCAAGCUGAAACACUACAUUUUGAAAACAUGUGAAGGGGAAAGAGUAUUAAAAUAGAAAUGAAAAUACAGGUUUCAGAUUUCUGAUCUUUGUAGUAGGCAAACAGUAACAACUUUUGGUUACAAAUUUAAAGACCACAUUUGCAUGAGUGCUGGAACUUCAGAAUCACCAGAGUUGAAAACAAAAUGAAUGAUGCAUCUAUGAGAGAAUCUGCAAAUGGAUAAUAAAGCAUAAAAAGAAAAGUUUAAUAAUACAAAAGGUAGUUCAAAAAGAAAAGUACAGCAAAUGAAAGAAUACAAAAUGUAAUUCAAAAAACAACACAAUGUGAGAUAAAAGAAAGAAUAACGUUUCAUAAUAAUGUUAGAAAGGGGGCAACUAAAUAUAUGAAUAAAUUUUAAAGAAAUAUUGAUAAUUAUAUUUUGAUAGUAAGCCUUCAUAUCAGCAAAAAAUAGAUAAGACUCAGAAACAUUAACCAUCUUAACAAGAUCAAUCUUCCUCAAACAACAAAACUUAGUUUGUAAAACUAGUAGUAUUAAACAAUUAACUUAAAUGUUAAAACAUACCAAGAACUGUUGUCUUUAGAGUAUGCUGCAUGUAAAUAUCAACCAAAAAAGAGAAAAAGCAUCAGGGCUUAUGGCUAAAUUACAAGUCAUCGACACUUAGACAACAACUGCCCAUGCACUUCAGAAAUGAAAAGAAACCCGAACUACUCAAUCUUAUGCAAUUCUUUUCAGCUUUGCAAUAACAAAUCUGAUCCUAAACACUACCCGUCUCACCCAGUGGGAGAUCAUGUUUGGCAGCAUGAAGCACAACAUUUCACUCAAUUAGAUUUGACUUCUCAUCUGGUAGGUCUAUUAUGCAUAAAGAUCAAGUAAAUGUAACAAUAAACACAAUAUAUUAUAUCUAUUUACCUUAGGGCUUACCUAGUGCCCCAUGUAAGGUGCACCGCCACCAGGUUGAUUCCUACUGGCGCUGCCCUGCCCCAUCUGUGGGUUCUGAUACCCACUCUGCACUCCAAUCUGGCUUCCAUAGCCUCCUGAAACUUGAUUCCCAUACCCUGCAGCAGGUGCUCCCUGGUUCACAGGGGCACCACCAAGCCCUCCAAGCAGAUUACCAAGCCCCAAACCAGCUCCCUGACUAGCCAGUAAUGCAGUCAAAGCCUGUCCAAGAGCUGGGUUUAAAGCCGGUGCAGCAGCGGCCACCCCAGGGUUAAACCCAGCAGCAGCAACUCCAGGGUUGAACACCACUGCGGCAGGCCCAGAUGGAGCCAUCAAAUGACCAGUCUCUGAUCCACCAGACGAAUACUUUCCCUUCUUAGCAUGAUGGUAAUGAGACUGAAUCUGAUGUUGUCCUUGCGGAUGCUGCUGGUACAGUUGAUGAUGCCCAGCAGAAGCACCUCCUCCAUAACCACUUUUGCUCGGUUUCGGCCCAUCAAUGGCCUUUUGGCAAUGCAAAAUAUGACCUUCAAAAUUCUUAUGAGGCUCCUCUAGGGCCCUUUUUGCACUCUCAGUCGACCCGUAUAGAAAAAGGGCGAACCCUUUGGGCUUCCCAGUCAGCUUAUCAAGCCCCAACGGACCUUCCUCAAUUUCCCCGUACUGUUCAAAAAACUCAAGCAACUUCUCCGGUUCUAAUUCAGCUGACACAUUACUAACAAAAAUCUUCCUCUGGGUAUACUCAGAAACAGGCGGAGCAGUUGGAGGCGGUGCCGGAACCGGUCCUUGCGAAGCCAACUGGCAAGAAGUAGUUCUAUUCCCAAUCUUCUUCUGGGGCUGUUUCAGAGCCCGCCGUGCCCCACUCCGAUGCUUAAAUAGAAUAAAAGCAUAACCUUUGGAUUUACCAGAAACCCUAUCGGUAACUGCUUUGCAUUCUUCUAUUUCCCCAUAUUUAGAAAACUCAGCAGUGAUAGUUUCAGCAGUGGCAUCCCAACUGAGCCCAUGAACGAAGAUCUUCCGAUGGGCAGGGUCCGCAUCCGCGAACUCCCGAACCGACGAGAUAAAUUCCGGGUGCUUGUCGACCACUUUCUUAAUAAGGAUAAUCAACUGAUCUUUCCCAAAUGGUUCUAGAAGUUUCUCGACUGGCUCGUCGUCCAAUUCCUUUUCUUGUUCUCCAUUUUGAACGGCGGCGUUGGAGGAACCAACUAGGGUUUGGUUUUCAACUUCUUCUUCAUCGUCUUCCUCGUCCUCCUCUUCUUCCUCUUCAACUUCCUCUUCUACUUCUUCUUCUACUUCCUCUUCCACUUCUUGUAGUUGCUCCUCUUCUUCUGCUUUCGGAUUCGGAUCUUCUUCGGUUAUGUACUCGGGUCGUUUCUGUUGCUCUUCUUCUUGGAUUGGUUGAUGAUCUGGCUUUGUUUUGGUUGGUUCGGGCUCGGAGAAUCGUUGCUUUCGCUUUCUCGCCAUGGAGUAAAAAAAAGAUUUGAAAGUAACAAAAAUAAUAAUUCGGGUUUCUUGGGGGUUUCUGAUUGGGGAAAGAAUUGGGAAGCUAGGGUUUCCAGGUAAAGCACGGUACUCACCAAUAAUUCCUUGAUCUGGCUAGGCUUUCAUUUUAUCGGGUUGGAUCUUCGGCCCAUGGUUUUGUAGGGCCCAACCAAACUUGGGCUAGGCUCUAUUUUUUACCAGCCUGCUUUAUUAGAAAAAAAAAUUUUUCCUAUGUUUUUUCUUUUGAAUUAUCAAUUUUUGUUAAGAAAUUGAAUUAUCAAUGUUGAUUUUUUUUAAACGAGUCACUUUUAAUUUUAAAAAUAUUUUUAUAUAUUUAAAAUUGAUGUAUAUUUCUCUUUUGAACUUUUUAAUAUUAAUAAUUAAUUGAAAUUUUGUAAAAUAAUGUUAAGAGAAUUGUUUAUUAUUAUUAUUAUUAUUAUUUUGCAAAAUGAUUUUGGAGUUUUGGAUGAAUGAAGAAUGAUUGGUAAUGAAGGAUAGAAUUUGUACAUAAAUUCUUUUUUUUACCUAUCUAUGAUAGCUUCAAUUAUUUGGCAUUUGAAAUAAUUACUAUUUAAUCUAACAAUUGUUUUAGGAAUAAAAUUUAAGGUUUAAAUUAUUUUUUGGAACUUGUUCCUUUUUUCAUAUAUUCAAAAAAUACAUAUUUUUUAAACAAAUAAAAUGAUAUUAUGAAGAUAGAUGAAAACAUUGAAAAUAUUGAAAUUUAAACUCGAGAUCUACUAUAUGUUACUUUUUAAGGGUAUUUAUAUGAAUUAAUUUGAUUAAAUUUUAAGUUCAAAAAAUGUAUAUUAGGCAUGCAUGUGAAAAUGGAUAAAUAGAAAUGAGAAAAACGUUAAGUUUGGUAUGCCUAAGUUGGGGAGAUUGAUUUAUAGAUGUAAGAAACUUUUCAAUCCAUGUUGUAAUUAUAAUGUUUAAAUCGAAGGAAAACAAUAGAACAUAUAAUAAAAAAUGGCUAUUGUAAUUUAUAAGGUAGACGUCAUAUGACCCAUUGGAUCCGGCCCAUCCAUCACAAAUCAGCAGAAAAGGCCUAAAGAAAUCCAAAGAAGCCCCCGAACUAGAGAGCCUCAAUUCCCAGACAACCCGAAUAAAUAGGAGCCCUUAUUUAUUUCGAACAUUCUUACAGGAAUUUGAGAAAGAGCUUCAGUGUGACACAUCUGAACCUAAAUAUCAGCUUAGAAGAACGAGUUCAACCUUUUUCUGACAUGUGUCUUCCGGUGUUACGAGUUUUAUAGUUGCUUAUGUUAGGGCCAUCCCCUUGGUUUGUUGAUGGAGCUGCUAUGGGAAUUCAUCCAAGGGUUUGGAGUUUUGUUCAUUUAUGAUUUUAUGUUGGUACUCAACAGCUUCCGAAAACUAUCCUAAGCUAGGCUCUGUUUUAUUUGGCUGAAAGACAACUGAAUACUUUCUCGGUUAGAUCAUGCUGCAUGUUUCAUAUAGUAUUGAAUUUUUAAUUUUAAUAAUAAUAUUCGAAUCUUGAUAAUUUUAAAUAUAAAAAAGAUUCGAAGGGCACAAAUUUAUCUACUUUCCAAGUGUAGUUUUACUGCAUAUUGUCUCGGGUUAGCUAAGGAACAAAUGCAAUUGGUUCCUAUUCUUGAAACAAAAAAUGAAAAAUGUUACUUGUGAUAACAAUGAAGAUUCUAUCCCUUCAAAGUGAGAAACCAAAGUUGUAAUAAAAAUUUUACUGUUGGAAAUCGAAGUGAGCUAAUGAGUUUGAAACUACGAUAUAUAUAUGUAUAUGUUAGGGGUUCACUUGCAAUUGCCGAUUGCCCCGGAAAUCUUUGUCUGAAAAUAGAAGUCACUUAGUGCAUACAUCAUUUGGAGCAGAAAAUGACAUGACGGUCUUUUAAACGGCAAUAAUUCACAUGCUCAAAAAUCCAAGCCGUCACCAUAGAAAAAAGGGUCACUUUCAAUUAUUCUUUGUCUUUACUUUUGUUCUUUGGUCAAGGAACGUAACUUGAGCGACAAUCAUCUGCAUAUGGAUCUAGACUAAACUUUUUCUUUUGGCCAGAAAGAUUAGACUUCAUGUAGCACAAAGCUAAUCAUGUCGUCAAUCAGUAAGAACAUGCUUCUCACUCACACCGGAUUCUCAUAUCACGAAGUAAAGAGUAAAGUAGCUUCACCUUGAAAGCGUUGAACUCUGCGUUUUGGUCCAAAAAGUAGAAAAUGAAGUGGAAAUUGCUUAAAGUUUGGACCCAAGACGACAACACAAUCCAGUUUUGCCUUUUCUUUCUUCUGGGAGAGAAAUUUUUUUGCGAGUGAAAUGGAAGAGAACAGAACUUCUUUGUUGGAGAGUGGCGUGGAGUACUAUGAAAACUGUCCAGGUUGUAAGAUGGAUCGUCUCAAACAAGAAGAAGUUGGAGUCCCAUACAAGCACUUGUCUUUUAUCUGGAUUGUCUCCCUGUGUUCUAGUCAGUACUUCAGAAUUAUCCCAUAAACUGUAAAAAGGAAAAAGAUAAAAGUUUUUCUUUUAGCAUUAGUUAAUUAUAUUUGCUUUUGGGUUGUCAUUGAAGGGCAAUAAUCAAAUCAUGUUGGCUCUUCUUUGAAGGGAGACAUCACUUUUAAUGGAAAAUUUGUUGUUUGCAGAAAAGGAAUGUCUAUGGUUUUUCUUCUCCUUUUGCUGUCUCUCUAAAAUGAGUUUUAACAGUCAUAUCUUAUUAUUGUUACAUUUUUCAGCUUUGCCAACAACUUCACUAUUCCCCUUUGUUUACUUCAUGGUAUGUUUUCUGCCCCUGAGAAACCUAUCACAUCCUAUGACUUAUUACCUAGGCUGAGAAAAUCGUUUUUAUAGUCAGUUUGCAAUAUUGAUGAUUCUACUAUGGAAGCCAAUAAUGUCAUUUUAUGUUUGAAUAUGUUUUUUUUUUUUUGGCAGAUCAGAGACUUUCAUAUUGCAAAAAGAGAGGAAGACAUUGGUUUCUAUGCAGGAUUUGUGGGUAAUAUCUAAUGCUAAUAUUCAGUAGCUUUUAUAUGUUAAUCAAAUUAGAUUUCAGAAUGAACUAGUGUUAAAUUACAGUAACUUUUUCCCCUACCAGGCUCUUCAUUUAUGGUUGGAAGAGCUUUGACAUCUCUUUUCUGGGGAGUGGUGGCUGAUCGAUUUGGUCGUAAACCUAUUAUAUUGAUAGGGACAUUUUCAGUGUCAGAAAUUUCUCAUUCACUACAUUGCAAACUUAUUAUAAUUGAUAAAAUGAAGUCAUUUAGCAAGAGUAAUUGUUAUUGGUAACUUUAUCAUCACAAGUUUUGGGUUUCAGGGUGGUAUUCAACGCUCUCUUUGGCCUUAGCACAAGCUUCUGGAUGGCACUGUCCAUGAGAUUUCUUCUUGGCUGCUUGAAUAGUGUGCUGGGCACAAUAAGGGUAUGUGAGCUGUGUAUGCAAAUUUGGGUUCAUUAUUACUUUACUCAAGAGGGCUAAUGGUUCAACUUUUCAACUACUUUCACCGCCUUGACCUUAUUUUCUAGGCAUAUGCUUCCGAAGUGUGUAGAGAGGAGUAUCGGGCUUUGGCACUUUCUGUUGUAAGAUAAUCAAUUUUGUAGUCUAAUAUGGGUUCUAGGUGCAUCGUCUGGAGUACCAUAUUUAUAUUAGACUUUGCAUUUCAGGUUAGUACGUCACGAGGCAUAGGACUGAUUAUUGGCCCUGCUAUCGGAGGCUUCUUUGCACAGGUGGAGACGUUCCAUUGUUCUACUCUUUGCACGGUUAUUAAAGAAGUUUAUCUUUCCUGAUAACCAUAUUGUUUAUUAAUUCAUGUAUGCCUUAUAGCCAGCAGAGAAAUAUCCAAAUGUAUUUUCCGAAGGUUCCAUUUUCGGAAGGUAGUCUGUGUUGCAUUGUUUUUUUUUUUUAUCAGUAUGUCAUAUUUUCCCUUUUGUGGUGAUAUUUUGAUGUGCACAUGAUUGCAGAUUUCCCUACUUCUUACCAUGCCUCAUAAUAUCAGUUUACGCUAUUGGAGUUCUUAUUGCCUGCAGAUGGCUUCCUGUAAGUCUCAAACUCAUUUUGUCAUCUUUUUCCUUUUUGUCUACUCUGGCUUGGGGCAUGAGUUGCAAUAAAAAUUCAUCAUGAUCAAUUAAGAAAUUGUUCUGUAGUUUUGAACUGUGGAUAUUCGGAUAUCACAUAAGCAGGUUCAAUAAGAUUAGAUCCAGAUAUUAAUUGAACUCGUAAAACAAGACUUGAUAGAGAUAAUUUAAAACUCUGCUAGAAUGUUAUACUGUAGAUUUAUGAUAUAUGUUUUAUGCAGUAGAAUCAAGGAGCUUCUGCUCAAAAUUCUCCACAUCAUGGCAUACCACGGUCACUUUGAUGUUAGAAAAAUGAAAAAAAGAAAUCUUAAAUCUUACUUUAAAAGCAAUAAGAUUAAGUUGUUUACUAGCUUAUAUGCAUGCAUCUGCCUCCAGUUUCCGUAUAAUGAUUGAUUCUUUCAAAUUUAUUUAUUGCAUUUUGAAUCUAGACAAUUUUAUUCUUUUUGUGGCGUAUGCUUUGUAUAUAGGUGUUUUAUCACAAAACUUGCUAGUAGCAUUUCUAUUGUUUAUUUCCCUCUCUUGGCAAACAUUUAUGCAGGAGACAUUACACAAGCAUGUUGGAAAGGGAAAUGAGAGAUAUGAUCCACAUGAUAUGUCAGAAACAUCUUCAAUCGAAUCUGGUGAGAAGGACAACAUCGUAGAACCUGAAGAGAUCAGACAGGCUCAUAAACCAAGUCUCUUAAAAAAUUGGCCACUAAUGUCUACGAUCAUUGUCUAUUGCGUUUUCUCACUUCAAGAAAUAGCUUACGCUGAAGUAAGUUGCCAUAAAAUGUACUAUCACCUAUGCCUAUCUAACAGAAGUAUAGAUCAUGCCAUAAAAUGUAAUCUUCUGCUCCCAUGUUCGAUAAGAUUUAUAAUGAUUGAUCUUUGCAUAUUCUUGAUAUCUUGAUAUGGUUGUUCAUAUUUCACGUAAGACGCUUAGCUUGUCUUUGCAGAUAUUUUCACUUUGGACAGUUAGUGAUAAAAAAUAUGGAGGAUUGAGCUUUUCAUCCCAAGAUGUUGGUGAAGUUCUUGCUAUCUCUGGUAUAUUCAUACCCUUCCAUGUUGCAAUAAUUUUUUAUAAACUAUUUGAAAUUUGAUGUUUUCUUUUAGAACACAUAAUCUAAUAACUUGACUUCUAUCAUUGCCAGGAUUAGGUCUUUUACUAUUCCAACUUCUGUUGUAUCCACCAGUGGAAAAGGUCCUUGGGCCUCUCACGGUUACACGGCUUUCAGCGGUAAAAUCUUACCUGCAGAUACUGUAUUUCUAGACCUUUUCCCCCUUUUUUUUAUUCUUUUUCAGUAAAAUAGCUAGUUAAUUUUUUUUUUUAAUUAUGCUUCUUUAUCGUCAGGCAAUAUCAAUUCCGUUGCUGUCAUGUUUCCCCUAUAUAACUAUGCUUUCGGGUGUAAUCCUACAUGUGGUGAUAAAUUGUGCAGCCCUAUUAAGGAAUACUCUAUCUGUAAGUGAAUUUGCAUCGAAAAUGUACACAAAUACAUGGAGAAGCUUUUGGGUCUUGAACUUCAAAUUCUGAAGCCAAUGAAUACCCUGAAAUGAAUCAGACAUGUUUCUUUCAAGAUUUUUUAUUUUUGGUUUAAGGUCAUCUGAUUUAUGAAGCAAAUUCUUUGGUAUUGUGUAGGUUUCUCUUGUUACCGGAUUGUUCAUAUUGCAGAACAAUGCAGUGGUACAUUUUCUGCCCAUAUUUUCGAAAAUAUUUUCACUGUAAUUUCCUUAUUCUGGUUUUAAUAUUAUUGCUUGUUCUUAUUUCAGCCACAAAGUCAGAGGGGAGCCGCCAAUGGCCUUUCAAUGACAGCAAUGUCUGUUUUCAAAGCAUUUGGUCCAGCAGGAGGAGGAGUCCUGUAAGUGAUGCCAACUAUUUCAGCCUUUCAUUUUCUGUAUAUAAUUUAGCUUACAUGCAUCAACCUAGUUUCCUGUCACUUCAUGUCCAAGAAUCACUUUCUCAUGUUUAUUUUCAUAAUAUCUAUAGCUUUUCUUGGGCACAAAAGAGACAAGCCGCAGCUUUUCUUCCAGGUUUGUAGUUGAAUCCUAAUCAAUCAUCAUGGUUCAUGCAGAUUUACAUGUGCUCAGAUCGAUUUACUGCAUUACAUGCUUUGAUGUUUGGAAACAGGUGAUCAGAUGGUGUUCUUCGUACUAAACGUUGUUCAGUUUGUCGGAUUGCUGCUGACUUUCAAGCCAUUUCUUGCCGAACCUCGUUCAUGAUCAUCUGAAGGAAAUACCAAGCGAAAGUAAUAACACAAACAUGACCAGAGUCAUUCUUGUACUGAACUGAACCACUUAGUUCUUUAAGUUUAUAUUAUCAAGUUUCAUAAAGGGACUGCAAAUUCUCAAAAUUGCUACAUUUCAUUAAUGGAGGACAACAAGAAAGCUGGUUAUGUGCAUGCAAAUUGGAUCUUCUACAAAUACCGAAUAUGGUUUACUGCAUCACCCUCGCUCUCAACAAAAUUAAACAGGAAGCUCCUUGCCAUAAAUACCCUUCUUGUUGGGACGAGCUGCAUGUGCAAACAAAAGAUCGCCAUCUCUGUUGUACUUCAGACACGUCAAUGAAAAUCGGCCUCAUAUUUUUUUUCUUCUCUUCCCUCAAAAAAAAAAAAAAAAGCCUGGUUUUUAUAUAAUAUUAUGGGUGAUUGAAUUGAAUUUUUUUUAAAAAAUAAUAUAUAAAAUUUUAAAAUUCUAUCCUAAUUGAAUUAAAUUUUAAUAUAUUUAAUUAUAAUUUUUUAAAAUUGUUAAUUUUUAAUUUAAAAUUUGACUUAAAUUAAAUAUAUAUUUAAUAAUUUAUUUUAAAUCAAAUAAAAAUAUAAUAAAUAUUAAUUUACACCAAAUCAAAUAAUACAAUUUCAAAUCGAUUUUUUCAAAUUUUUUUCUCAUUCCUAUAUAAACAUCUAACAAAUCUAAACAUAAAUAUAUUAAUUCGCAAUUUUAGGGCGUAAUGUUUCAUUUUAUGGUGUGAUCUUGAGCUUUUGGUUGUUGCCAUGAUCCAAACCAAAAUCACCACAAGCCCAAUUACUCUUUGGACAACCGUCAGAAUCCUUUAGAGAGCCGAAGAUUAGCUCGACAUUGGAAAAAUUAGAGGUUGGCUGCUGUUGCCGUGUGUUUUAUAUUUUAGGUUUUUGAAAUUUUGUUUUAUUUUAUUUUUAAUUUAUUGAAUUUAAAAAUAUAUUUGAAUAGAAUGUUUUUGUUAUAAAAACAUGAAAAGAAAAUGAUUAAAAUUUUUAGACUCUAUUUAUUAUUAAUAAUAUAAUGAUGUUAAUAUAUUAAUAUAUUAUUUUGAAUAUAAUAAUUUAUAUAAUAAAAAUAUUUUUUUAUUAAUAUAAUAAUGAUAACAUCAUUUAAUUAUAAUUUUUGUGAAUAGAACUCAUACGAUAAGUGUCAAAUUAUUUUAAAAAAUUAAACAUAUAAUUUUCAAAAUUUUUUAAAACUUUGAUUUUAAUUUUCAAAAAUAAAAAAUAAAAAAACUUAUCAAACAUAUUUUUGUUUUCAAUUUAAAAAAAAAUUGAAAAUACGAAAACGUUACUAAGGAACUCUUAAUAUAUAUAUAUAUAUAUAUAUAUAUAUAUAUAUAUAUAAAAGAGGACUCACAAAAUCAAAAUAUUAACGGCUUCAAAUUAACUUUUCCCCUUUUAUUUUAUCAAUUGACAUGCAGUAACUUUUAGUUUGUCUGCGAAAGGACGACAAAUGAAAAAAGCUUUUGAUUCAGAGCAACCGUUUCCCGGCAAUGGCAGUUUGAUCACGUUCCCAGUGUCAAUCUCCGUAAAUAAACCGAAAACCAGUACCCUUUAAGACCCUUUCUUUAUUCGAUAACCAAAACGGGUUUCUUUUUUUUUCUUCUCACAAUUUUUUGUUUUUUCUGUGGAUCUCUCUGAAAAAUAAAUUAAAAGCUUAAGAUAUGGGAAAUGCAAACGGAAGAGAAGACGGAGCCAACGGAGGCGUCGACCAUCUCUUUGUAAGGUCUAACGGCGGCAAGCCGGUCGUUCGUGGAGCUGCUGCAGUUGCAGUUCGCGUGCGGUCGUCUGAUUCAAUGGCGAACACUCCGCCGCAGAGCCCUCACUGGUCUCGAUCCCCUCUUGUAUGCGCUCCUCAGGUUCGCAUCUUCGAAAUUUCAAUGAUCUUUCCAGGACUUUGAACUUAUUGUAUUUUUAAUAAUAUAAAUUACUCUAAAUAUCCAAAAAUAAAAGAGAUAUUUGGUUUCAAAAUUCAUUUGAAUUAGAACAAAUCUGAGUUUUGAUUAUAUAUUUGAAAAAUUAGCUGAAGAAAAAUAUGUGUGUUGCGUGCCAGAUAAGUAAAUUAAAAAUUUUGAAUUGUUUCUUGGAAUGAGAAGCAGGGGUGUAAAUGAUAUGUUAAUGCUCACAAAUUACUCGGGUCGGCUCGGCUAAAACUCAGGAUUCGGUUCGGUCAUUGCUCCUUAUCGAGCGAGUAAGUUCAAACUCAAGUUCAAACAUGCAUAAUCAAAUUUGAAAUCGAGUAUGAGGAUCAAGUUCAUUUUUAUUAAAUGAGUUUAAUCGAACGAGUUCAAGUAAUUUAAUUUUUAUCUCGAGUCGAAUUCGAACUUAAAAAUUAAAAUUUGAUUGAGUUCGAGCUGAGUUUCAAGCAGUGAAUUUCAAGUCAAGCUUGAGCUUCUCACCUUGGUUCGGCUUGAUUACACAAUAAUGAGAAGAGGAAGACAAUGUUUUUUGCAUAGCAGUGUAAGUUUGUUGCUUUUGAGAAAUUUAUUAGAAGUUUGCGAAGAAAACUGACUAUGAGGUAAUCCACGUAAUUUAGUUUGAAAUCAAGUAUGAGAAUCGAGCUCAUUUUUAUUAAUUAAGCCUAAUCAAGUGAGCAACCUCGAGUAACUUAAUUUUUAUCUUAAAUCGAAUUCAAACUUAAAAAUUAAAACUCGAUUGUGUUCGAAUUAAAUUUCAAACAGCGAAUUUUGAGUCAAGCUCGAGUGUCUUACUGUAUCAACUUGGCUCGGUUUGAUUAGACCUCUAAUUAGUAAUGGAUGACUAUGUUUUUUGCAUAUCAGUGCAACUUUGUUGCUUUUGAGAAAUUUGUUAAGAGUUUGCAAAGAAAACUGACUAGGAAGUAAAAAGGAGUGAUUGAAAAUGGAUACUUUUGUUGGCUCCUUAAAUGUAAUAUAUAGAACAUGCAUUGAUUUGUUACAGUUAAUUGGCUUUUUUUUUUUAAAUUUGUUUUAAAAAGCUUAUUUGCACAUGUUGUAAUGCUUAAGAGGGGACGCUUAGAUGUUUAAAUCUUUAUUAACAUAUUUUGAGCCGAUGAAUAAUGAGAACUAAACACAUACCUGAACACAUGGGGGAAGGGGGAAGAGUGUUUGAUAAAACUUAACCAAUGCCAAUACCCCAAAGUGUUCAACUUUUGGAAACAUGGAACGGAAUCUUCUUUACUGUUGGAAUCCCCAAUCUCUUUGGUCCUUAGAUUGGUUUUUGUCCGUGAGAAUUUUUGCCCCUUUACAUAUGUAUGGUGUUGAUUUCACAUAUGGAUUCUUGUGGAGCUCUAGAUGCUUAAUUUGGAGGGGUGAGUAUACACAAUGCUUUCAAGUAUUUGAUUGUGUUACUUUAGUUAGUUUCUUUUGAUUCGUUGAUCUUCAUCCUGAUCAGAUAGUAAUUUUUCUUUUCUUUUCUUUUUUAAACAAAAUUGUUUUAUCUUUUGACAUCUAUUCAUCAGUUUAUGGUCUGUUAUUGGGAUUGCCAAGAAGUGAGGAGAGGUCGGAGUAGUGUGCUGCUGCUGAUUUACUUAUGAACUAAAGAGUUUUGUCUAUCUGGGCAGUGACCUUUCAACUGAUAGGUUGGUUGUUUUUGGUGCAUUUUUAGGUUACUGCAGCUCCUUAACCAAGAGGUGCUGGCCAUUCCUUUUUCAACCAAAUUUGGCGGAAUUAUUCUCCCGGGGUUGCUGAUAGUCCAUCUGAGAAAGGAAUCCCUGUCAUCAUUACAUGAAAUUAUGGUGGUAAUGAUGUGGCUGUGGAAGGUUCUUGGGAUAAUUGGAGAUCAAGGUAGGUUUUCAGUUCCUUGUGUCAUAGACACUGCCAUUUUCAUGUAGGAAAAAUCCUGUGGUUCAUCUUUUUGUCUGAAACCCAAGCAUGGACGAGUGUUAUUUUCUGCUUGCAGGAAGAGACUGCAAAGAUCUGGUAAGGACCACUCAAUUCUUUUGGUCCUUCCAUCUGGCAUUUACCAUUACAAGUUUAUUGUCGAUGGUGAAUGGAGAUAUAUGCAUGAUCUACCGUUUGUAGCUGAUGAAAUGGGCAAUGUUUGUAAUCUUCUUGAUGUUCAUGUAUGUAUCUUCGUAUAUGCCCACUUGCUCCAACUUGAAUCAUGUGACUUUCAUUUUUACUUCAUGUAAUGUUGUCUAGGCUGGUGUAGUAUAAAUGGCUGGCCAGCAGAACUGGACCUCUGCAAUUUUAGCAUAUUGUUGUUGCAUAAAAAGAGAGGUUUAAGGUAAAUUUGGGUGGUAAAAUCUGUUCAAGGCUAAAUACAAGUGAGAAACUAAUAGCAAACAAGUAUCACAAGUGAAAGAUAAAAAGGACUUUGAAAAUAAAGUAUAAGAGUGCUCGGAAUUGUCAGGAGGAAAACGGAUUGGGAACUGGUGAUGUGUCUAAGUCAAAUGUGGAAUGGCAAGAGUUGGUCCGUUGAUCAGCUUGGGGCAUGAUCGAUGUGGAUUGCAACAGUGGCUCAAGCUUGGGCCUUUUGAAUUUUGAUACACCCGUUUAUACAACGAAGCUCGGGGAAAAAAUUUCCCUCUUGAGCGCCAAGUAUAUAACCAAAGGCAGCUGUGCAAACAUUACGGGCCCUUUCAGCUCAGGUGUUACGGAGCUAAAGAGAAGUCUUGAAUCUCACAUCGAAUAUAAUAGAAAGGUCACUGAAAUAUAUAAAGGUUCACACCACCUCCGUCUUGUGAGACGCCUUUUGUAAGACAAAACCGUGAGAUCAGUGGAGCCAGAGCAGACAAUACCUCACAAGGGUAUGAACCGUGACAGAAAGGCUGAUCUGAGACGCCGGAAUGGUGAAUGCCCGGAUCUCGGAGUGGCGCGAGUUCGGAGCUUAAGUGUCGACCUGUGAUAAGUGGUAUCAGAGUCAGUCCUAAACUGUUCGAUCUACGCCAAACACCUCAAGAGAGGCAGGCAGGGUGAUCAACCUCCAUGACGAAGGCGUCACGAGGUUGAGUGCGAGAGAAUGUCACGGACCUAAGGAAGACUCUUGAAUCCCACAUCGAACAUAAUAAGAGAGUCACUAGAGAAUAUAAGAAUUCACACCACCUCCGCCUUAUGAAGCGCCUUUUGUAAGACAAAACCGUGAGAUCAGAGAGGUCAGAGCGAAUAAUACCUCACAAGGGUGUGAACCGUGACAAGAAGACUGAUCUGGGACGCCAUAAGGAUGAAUGUCCGGGUCCUGGAACCGCACGGAUUCGAAGCUUAAGUCUCGACCUGUGACACAGGCACCUGACUCCCCAAGCCUCGGCACCAGCCAGGCCUUGGUGCGCACCGAUGCCUUGCACAGCCUUGGCAGUUGCCUGGCCCUUGAGAGCUCUCAUGGUGCUUUGCAUCCAAGGCACCAGCCUGGGGCAGUUGUGAGCCCUAGCACCAACCAGGCAUUGUAUUGAGCAAACAAGGAUGAACAGGGAAGAUGAAUGUUACAUACGUUGUGUCAUGUUUAAAGCAUCUCUAUAAUGGUUUUAUGACUUUUACCACCUUAUCUUGGCCGUAACCAUGAUCUAAAUGAUACUUGUCACAUUUUUGCUGCCUUUAUUUGCUUCAUUACGACUCACUGUUUCUUGCAGGACAAUGUACCUGAAAAUCUGGAUAGUGUAACUGAGUUUGAGGCUCCAGGAUCCCCAAAUUCCAGUUAUGGUCAGGCAUUUCCAUCGGAGGAAGAUUUUGCAAAGGAGCCUGUUGUAGUUCCAUCCCAGCUGCAUGUAACUGUCCUCAGUACAGAUAACCAAGAUGGAGCAUCAUCUUCAAAGCCUGAACACGUUGUACUUAACCACCUUUUCAUAGAGAAAGGACGGGCAUCACAGUCUGUUGUCGCCCUGGGAUUGACCCAUAGGUUUGAGUCCAAAUACGUUACUGUUGUACUCCAUAAGCCACUCAAAAGGUAACAUGUACUUUUCCAUUGCUUCACCCUGUAAAGAAUUGAAAGUGACUUUCACACUUGUUUGUUAAGGUACCCCUGUUUUGUAGAUCUGCUUUGACACUUUAACAUGCCCUUUGUUUGUUUUGUUAUACUUUACACGUUUGCUUGCCUUCAAAUGCUUGCCAUGUGUGGUUUUUCUACAGCUUUAUAAACUGCAGUGGUAGUUGAUGUGUAAAAGCAAUUAGGAAAAGCUUUAUUAGACUGGCUUUUGAUCCAACUACUCAAGGAGAAGAGCAAAAAGAAAGUUGUCCUGGAAUUGGACAAUAUAACAUAUACAUCUCAUUAAGCAAGACUUACACAUCUGCGGAUGUACUCUGCUCUGCUUACAGUGAGCUUACAUUUACCUUGAACUAGGCUUGAACCACUAGGUUGCCAAGAUGUUUGUGAUCAUAAAAGUGAAAAAAAAAUGUUAGUGCAAGCAUUGAGAUGCAUGAAUUGGUUUUGUUAUAAGAAAACUAAUUUAGAGAUGAUAACAAUCCCUAGAAAUGAAAGCAUUUACCAUAUAGCUUUUGAAUUAGAUCAUGCUUUACUGUCAAAUGUUCUGUUGAAUGAGGAAGAACUGAAAAUGAAAGAGAAACUAUCCAAUAGUGGAAGUACCAAUUGGCAAUUGAAAUCAUAUAAAAGAAAUCAUUGCUUUAACCCUGCAUACUUAUACCGAUGAAACCACAUACAGAUUAUGUUGCUUACAGUUAAGAACCUCAAGUGAUCUCCUUGACAAACUUGUAACCAUUGCACAUUUGCAUCAACAUACAAACCACAUGGCUAUGUGGCAAUGAUCAUCAUAUGUUGAGGCGGAUUAUCAAAUAAACAUAUGAGAAUACUUGUACCAAACUUAUAAACAACUAGUUCAAUACCUAAUUGUUCUCAAGAAAGAGUAGCUAGCAGUUGUGUGAAUUUGU